rnacentral:lncRNA from 1 species
GGACACCUGAGUGACAUCAGGGUCACUGUGCCAGGUCCAGGUGACAGCCGUGUCACUGUCCCAGUGUCCGUGUGUGGGUGUCACAGCCGGGUGACAGCCGUGUCACUGUUCCCGUGUCUGGGUGUCACUGUUCCUGUGUCACUGUUCCCAUGUCCGGGUGUCACUGUUCCUGUGUCACUGUUCCCAUGUCCGGGUGUCACUGUUCCCGUGUCCGCGUGUCACAGCCGUGUCACUGUCCCAGCUCCGUGUGUCACUGUUCCCAUGUCCGGGUGUCACAGCCGUGUCACUGGUCCCAUGUCUGGGUGUCACUGUUCCCGUGUCCGGGUGUCACUGUUCCUGUGUCACCGUUCCUGUGUCACUGUUCCCAUGUCCGGGUGUCACUGUUCCGGUGUCACUGUUCCCGUGUCCGGGUGUCACUGUUCCUGUGUCCGCGUGUCACAGCAUUGUCACUGUUCCGGUGUCACUGUUCCUGUGUCACUGUUCCCGUGUCAGGGUGUCACUGUUCCAGUGUCACUGUUCCUGUGUCACUGUUCCCGUGUCCGGGUGUCACAGCCGUGUCUGGGUGUCACUGUUCCGGUGUCACUGUCCCUGUGUCCGGGUGUCACUGUUCCGAUGUCACUGUUCCGGUGUCACUGUCCCCGUGUCCGGGUGUCACUGUUCCUGUGUCACUGUUCCCGUGUCCGGGUGUCACAGCCGUGUCCAGGUGUCACUGUUCCUGUGUCACUGUUCCCGUGUCCGGGUGUCAUUGUUCCAGUGUCACUGUUCCUGUGUCACUGUUCCUGUGUCCGCGUGUCACAGCCGUGUCCGGGUGUCACUGUUCCGGUGUCACUGUUCCUGUGUCACUGUUCCUGUGUCCGGGUGUCAUUGUUCCAGUGUCACUGUUCCGGUGUCACUGUCCCCGUGUCCGGGUGUCGCAGCCGUGUCCGGGUGUCACUGUUCCUGUGUCACUGUUCCUGUGUCACUGUUCCCGUGUCCGGGUGUCACUGUUCCAGUGUCACUGUUCCUGUGUCACUGUUCCCGUGUCCGGGUGUCAUUGUUCCAGUGUCACUGUUCCUGUGUCACUGUUCCUGUGUCCACGUGUCACAGCCGUGUCCGGGUGUCACUGUUCCAGUGUCACUGUUCCCGUGUCCGGGUGUCACAGCCGUGCCCGGGUGUCACUGUUCCGGUGUCACUGUCCCCGUGUCUGGGUGUCACUGUUCCGGUGUCACUGUCCCUGUGUCCGGGUGUCCCUGUUCCGAUGUCACUGUUCCGGUGUCACAGCCGUGUCCGGGUGUCACUGUUCCGGUGUCACUGUCCCCGUGUCCGGGUGUCACCGUUCCUGUGUCACUGUUCCUGUGUCCGGGUGUCAUUGUUCCAGUGUCACUGUUCCUGUGUCACUGUUCCUGUGUCCGGGUGUCACUGUUCUGGUGUCACUGACAUCACCCAAAUGACAUCACUGCCCAAUGACAUCACUGUCCAAUGACAUCACCCAAAUGACAUCACAGCCCAAUGACAUCACUGUCCAAUGACAUCACCCAAAUGACAUCACUGCCCAAUGACAUCACUGCCCAAUGACAUCACCCAAAUGACAUCACUGCCCAAUGACAUCACUGUCCAAUGACAUCACUGUCCAAUGACAUCACCCAAAUGACAUCACUGCCCAAUGACAUCACUGCCCAAUGGCAUCAUCCAAUGACAUCACAACCCCAAUGACAUCACCGUCCCAUGACGUCACCCUGAUGACAUCACCGCUCCAUGACGUCAGCCUGAUGACAUCACAGCCCAAUGACAUCACACCCAAUGACAUCACACCCCAAUGACAUCACCAUCACAUGUCAGCCAGUACAUCAGUCUCAUGACGUCACCCCGAUGACAUCAUCCAAUGACAUCACAACCCCAAUGACAUCACCGCUCCAUGACGUCACCCUGAUGACAUCACCGCUCGAUGACAUCACCGCUCCAUGACAUCACCCCGAUGACAUCACCGCCCCAUGACGUAAAUCUAGUGCCAUCACUCCCCAAUGACGUCACCACUCCAUGACGUCACCCUAAUGACAUCACUUCCCAAUGACAUCACGCCCCCAUGACGUCACCCCAACGCCCU